rnacentral:rRNA from 1 species
AUUGAACGCUGGCGGUAUGCUUAACACAUGCAAGUCGAACGGUAGCAGGCCUUCGGGCGCUGACGAGUGGCGGACGGGUGAGUAACGCGUGGGAAUCUGCCCUCAGGAGGGGGAUAACGGCUGGAAACGGCCGCUAAUACCCCAUAUGCCGCGAGGUGAAAUGAAUUUCGCCUAAGGAUGAGCCCGCGUCUGAUUAGCUAGUUGGUGGGGUAAAGGCCCACCAAGGCGACGAUCAGUAGCUGGUCUGAGAGGAUGAUCAGCCACACUGGGACUGAGACACGGCCCAGACUCCUACGGGUGGCAG